rnacentral:rRNA from 1 species
GACGAACGCUGGCGGCGUGCUUAACACAUGCAAGUCGAACGAUGAUGCUGGAGCUCGCUCCAGUUGAUUAGUGGCGAACGGGUGAGUAACACGUGAGCAAUCUGCCCUUGACUCUGGGAUAACUGCGGGAAACUGUAGCUAAUACCGGAUACUUUCACCGGGGGGCAUCCUCUGGUGAUGAAAGAAUUUCGGUCAAGGAUGAGCUCGCGGCCUAUCAGCUUGUUGGUGAGGUAACGGCUCACCAAGGCGACGACGGGUAACCGGCCUGAGAGGGUGACCGGUCACACUGGGACUGAGACACGGACCAGACUCCUACGGGAGGCAGCAGUGGGGAAUAUUGCACAAUGGGCGCAAGCCUGAUGCAGCAACGCCGCGUGAGGGAUGAAGGCCUUCGGGUUGUAAACCUCUUUUAGCAGGGAAGAAGCGAAAGUGACGGUACCUGCAGAAAAAGCACCGGCUAACUACGUGCCAGCCGCCGCAGUAA